rnacentral:rRNA from 1 species
GACGAACGCUGGCGGCGUGCUUAACACAUGCAAGUCGAACGGAAAGGCCCUGCUUUUGUGGGGUGCUCGAGUGGCGAACGGGUGAGUAACACGUGAGUAACCUGCCCUUGACUUUGGGAUAACUUCAGGAAACUGGGGCUAAUACCGGAUAGGAGCUCCUGCUGCAUGGUGGGGGUUGGAAAGUUUCGGCGGUUGGGGAUGGACUCGCGGCUUAUCAGCUUGUUGGUGGGGUAGUUGCUUACCAAGGCUUUGACGGGUAGCCGGCCUGAGAGGGUUACCGGCCACCAUGGGACUGAGAGACGGGCCAGAAUUCUAAGGGAGGCAGGAGUGGGGAAUAUUGCAAAAUGGGGGGGAGCCUGAUGGAACAACGCCCGGUGCGGGAAGACGGGCUUUGGGGUGUAAACCGCUUUCGCCUGUGACGAAGCGUGAGUGACGGUAAUGGGUAAAGAAGCACCGGCUAACUACGUG